UGCAAGCGUUAAUCGGAAUUACUGGGCGUAAGCGCGCGUAGGUGGCUUGAUAAGCCGGUUGUAAGCCCCGGGCUCAACCUGGGAACGGCAUCCGGAACUGUCAGGCUAAGUGCAGGAGAGAAGGUAAUUCCCGGUGUAGCGGUAAAUGCGUAGAGAUCGGGAGGAAUACCAGUGGCAAGGCGGCCUUCUGGACUGACACUGACACUGAGGUGCAAACGUGGGUAGCAAACAGGAUUAGAUACCCUGGUAGUCCACGCCGUAAACGAUGUCGACCAGUGUUGGGUGCCUAGAGCACUUUGUGGCGAAGUUAACGCGAUAAGUCGACCGCCUGGGGAGUACGGCCGCAAGGUUAAAACUCAAAUAAUUGACGGGGGCCCGCACAAGCGUGGAGCAUGUGGUUUAAUUCGAUGCAACGCGAAGAACCUUACCUACCCUUGACAUCUACAGAAGCCGGAAGAGAUUCUGGUGUGCCUUCGGGAACUGUAAACAGGUGCUGCAUGGCUGUCGUCAGCUCGUGUUGUGAAAUGUUGGGUUAAGCCCGUACGAGCGCACCCCUUGCCUUAUUUGCCAGCGAGUAAUGUCGGGAACUCUAAGGGACUGCCGGUGACAAACCGAGGAAGGUGGGGACGCGUCAAGUCAUCAUGCCUUCGGGUAGGCUACAAAUACAAUGCCGGUCAAAGGGCUGCGAGCUCGCGAGAGUCAGAUUCUUAAAGCCCGGUCUCAGACCGGAUCGGAGUCUGCAACUCGACCCGGAAGUCGGAAUCGCUAGUAAUCGUGAAUCAGAAUGUCACGGU
rnacentral:rRNA from 1 species